UCUGCUCGGACUCCGGCAGCUAUGGGAAACACUUACAUUCAGUAGUCUGAUAGGAGAACUUUUUCAGACGGAUCUUGUGCCAUUGAUGCUUUUAAUCCCACGGCCCAUAUUUCUAAGCUAACUGCCCAAAUUAAUUUGAUCCGAGAAAAUCUCGCCUGCCCCGUCCAGUACCUCAUUACUCCACGUCCGAGCUAAUCUCGCUUGCGAGACCCAACCAUCCAACCCGUCUCACAUCCCUCGGGCGAGCGCAGCCCCAAGGUCGCCGACCUCCUUCGUCACGCCGGCUAUCUCCACCACCACCCCGCUCCGCCCCAAAACUCGGGAACGUCUACAACUCCUCCAGGUGACCGGUGCAAAGACCCAUCCUCGCCUGCUUCGCUGAAUCCUACUCUCACCGCCAACGGCGUCACACCCAUCGCCGGCCUUGUUCCCCGCCAGACCCUGCCUCAUCACCAUUCAUCCCACCGCGCUGGUGCGUCGUUUCGGCUCGGAAGAGGCUACACGCGUAUGCCAGCCGUCGUCCCCCAGGCUCGGUGUCAACUCCCGAUGGUCCGGUGAAUGGUUAAUAGACAGGAUUGAUCCGGAUAUGCUUCUUAAUUGUAAUGUACAUGCUUAUGUGAAGUACAAAGCAGAGAACUUGCUUCAUUGGGCAAAGAAAACAUGGUGAAUUGUGAAUGGGUGUGACACAAGACAUGUGUCUCCAUGUUGGACGCAAUCUUAAUUUGUUUCCAUUUUCAAUGUUCCAAGAUUCCACUUUGAUACCGACAAAAAACUAUUUUAGAGCAUCCAUGCUUCCUAGGUCUCAUAUAUGUGCUUCUUAUCUAUCGAAUGAUUGCCCCUCUA